CCUACGGGAGGCUGCAGUGGGGAAUAUUGGACAAUGGGCGAAAGCCUGAUCCAGCCAUGCCGCGUGUGUGAAGAAGGCCUUCGGGUUGUAAAGCACUUUCAGUGGGGAAGAAAGCCUUGGGGCUAAUACCCUCGAGGAAGGACAUCACCCACAGAAGAAGCACCGGCUAACUCCGUGCCAGCAGCCGCGGUAAUACGGAGGGUGCGAGCGUUAAUCGGAAUUACUGGGCGUAAAGCGCGCGUAGGCGGUCUGAUAAGCCGGUUGUGAAAGCCCCGGGCUCAACCUGGGAACGGCAUCCGGAACUGUCAGGCUAGAGUGCAGGAGAGGAAGGUAGAAUUCCCGGUGUAGCGGUGAAAUGCGUAGAGAUCGGGAGGAAUACCAGUGGCGAAGGCGGCCUUCUGGACUGACACUGACGCUGAGGUGCGAAAGCGUGGGUAGCAAACAGGAUUAGAUACCCGAUAGU
rnacentral:rRNA from 1 species